GGAGGGAUGGCAGAGUCCGGCUGAAUGCGCAUGACUCGAAAUCAUGUGACCUCUUACGGGGUCCGGGGGUUCAAAUCCCUCUCCCUCCGCCA
rnacentral:tRNA from 1 species